GGAAUGUAACUCAGUGGUAAGAGCACUUGCCUAUCAUUCAGGAGGCUUUGGGUUCCAUACCCAGCACCA
rnacentral:tRNA from 1 species